rnacentral:piRNA from 1 species
UAGACGUGGUGAUUCAAGGUCAAAGUCAGAA